CCUACGGGCGGCAGCAGUGAGGAAUAUUGGUCAAUGGACGAGAGUCUGAACCAGCCAAGUAGCGUGAAGGAUGACUGCCCUAUGGGUUGUAAACUUCUUUUAUAUGGGAAUAAAAUGUUCCACGUGUGGGAUUUUGUAUGUACCAUAUGAAUAAGGAUCGGCUAACUCCGUGCCAGCAGCCGCGGUAAUACGGAGGAUCCGAGCGUUAUCCGGAUUUAUUGGGUUUAAAGGGAGCGUAGGUGGAUUGUUAAGUCAGUUGUGAAAGUUUGCGGCUCAACCGUAAAAUUGCAGUUGAAACUGGCAGUCGUGAGUACAGUAGAGGUGGGCGGAAUUCGGGGUGUAGCGGUGAAAUGCGUAGAUAUCACGAAGAACUCCGAUUGCGAAGGCAGCUCACUGGACUGCAACUGACACUGAGGCUCGAAAGUGUGGGUAUCAAACAGGAUUAGAUACCCUAGUAGUC
rnacentral:rRNA from 1 species